GAUGAACGCUGGCGGCGUGCCUAAUACAUGCAAGUCGAGCGAACAGAUGAGGAGCUUGCUCCUCUGACGUUAGCGGCGGACGGGUGAGUAACACGUGGAUAACCUACCUAUAAGACUGGGAUAACUUCGGGAAACCGGAGCUAAUACCGGAUAAUAUAUUGAACCGCAUGGUUCAAUAGUGAAAGACGGUUUUGCUGUCACUUAUAGAUGGAUUCGCGCCGCAUUAGCUAGUUGGUAAGGUAACGGCUUACCAAGGCAACGAUGCGUAGCCGACCUGAGAGGGUGAUCGGCCACACUGGAACUGAGACACGGUCCAGACUCCUACGGGAGGCAGCAGUAGGGAAUCUUCCGCAAUGGGCGAAAGCCUGACGGAGCAACGCCGCGUGAGUGAUGAAGGUCUUCGGAUCGUAAAACUCUGUUAUUAGGGAAGAACCAAUGUGUAAGUAACUAUGCACGUCUUGACGGUACCUAAUCAGAAAGCCACGGCUAACUACGUG
rnacentral:rRNA from 1 species